rnacentral:lncRNA from 1 species
CCAUUUGGGUUCUCGUCGCUAAAACAUUCACCGCGGCUCGUGUAACAGUAGCUAUACCCGCCGCCGCCGCCCCAGCUGUCAUAAACUGGCCUACCGUAAGUCUGGUAACAUGGGCGUAGGGGUGGAGGUGGUCCACCAUAAUAGCAAGGUCCCCCACCAACGCCAUGAUAGCAUUCCGUGCAACAGCAUCCGAUGGGGGGAUAAGCCAUUGGUGGUGGAGGACAAGGUUCUGGAACCUUUGGUGCUGCUGCUGGCGGUUUCGGUGGUGGUUCUUUUCGUUUCUCAGGUUCCUUAGGCUUUUCGGGUUGUUUAGGUUUCUCGGGUUCUUUGGGUUUUUCGGGUUCUUUCGGCUUUUCGGGUUGUUUAGGUUUCUCGGGUUCUUUGGGUUUUUCGGGUUCUUUUGGUUUUUCGGGUGCUUUAGGCUUUUCGGGUUCUUUUGGUUUUUCUGGUACUUUAGGCUUCUCUGGUUCUUUGGGUUUUUCAGGUUCUUUGGGCUUUUCGGGUUCUUUAGGCUUCUCAGGCUCCUUGGGUUUGGGAGGAGGAGGUGGAGGUUUGAUCUCAAUGCUCUUGAUUGAUCCAGCACCCUUGCAACAUAUCUUGUCCCUCAGCUUCUCAGGAUUGCAGCAUACCACAGUAAUGGUCACGGUGUUGGCUUUCUCAUUGUAUAUCUGGUCUCGUAUUUCUCUUGUUCGCAAAAACCCAUCAUCAAAAAAUUAUCAACUUAAACCAUAUAAAAAACUACUUUGCAAUUAUUAAAAUGCUAAACACAAAAAGGACAAGCAUAAAAAUCAGGAA